AAAUCACAAUGCGGGACUUCUAGUCUUGCAAUUGGAUUGAGAACAACGUACAACUCUUAUCGAUAAGCCAUUGGAGGGCAAGUCUGGUGCCAGCAGCCGCGGUAAUUCCAGCUCCAAUAGCGUAUAUUAACGUUGUUGCAGUUAAAAAGCUCGUAGUUGAAGUGAGGGAGUGUAUGUGCAGAAGAGCUAGUCUCAACUACUCAUAACCUCCCCCUUCCAAUCGGUGUAGUGGGGUAUUCACUUAUUUCACUACUCCUUUGGUCGUUUACUGUGAGAAAAUUAGAGUGUUCAAAGCGGGCGUUUGUUUGAAUAGAUUAGCAUGGAAUAAUGAUUGAAGGCUUUCGUGUUCGAUUUGAUUGGUUUGUUCAUGGAAGCAAGGUUAAAAGGAACAGUUGGGGGUAUUCAUAUUCACUAGUUAGAGGUGAAAUUCUCGGAUUUAUGGAAGAUGA
rnacentral:rRNA from 1 species